rnacentral:rRNA from 1 species
UUUUUUUGAUGCGGCCUUGCAUGAUACGUGGCAAGGUCGAGCGAAGCGAUAGCCAAGUAACUUGCUCCUUCGGACGUUAGCGGCGGACGGGUGAGUAACACGUGGGCAACCUACCUUAUAGUUUGGGAUAACUCCGGGAAACCGGGGCUAAUACCGAAUAAUCUGUUUCACCUCAUGGUGAAACACUGAAAGACGGUUUCGGCUGUCGCUAUAGGAUGGGCCCGCGGCGCAUUAGCUAGUUGGUGAGGUAACGGCUCACCAAGGCGACGAUGCGUAGCCGACCUGAGAGGGUGAUCGGCCACACUGGGACUGAGACACGGCCCAGACUCCUACGGGAGGCAGCAGUAGGGAAUCUUCCACAAUGGGCGAAAGCCUGAUGGAGCAACGCCGCGUGAGUGAAGAAGGAUUUCGGUUCGUAAAACUCUGUUGUAAGGGAAGAACAAGUACAGUAGUAACUGGCUGUACCUUGACGGUACCUUAUUAGAAAGCCACGGCUAACUACGUGCCAGCAGCCGCGGUAAUACGUAGGUGGCAAGCGUUGUCCGGAAUUAUUGGGCGUAAAGCGCGCGCAGGUGGUUUCUUAAGUCUGAUGUGAAAGCCCACGGCUCAACCGUGGAGGGUCAUUGGAAACUGGGAGACUUGAGUGCAGAAAAGGAUAGUGGAAUUCCAAGUGUAGCGGUGAAAUGCGUAGAGAUUUGAGGAACACCAGUGGCGAAGGCGACUGUCUGGUCUGUAACUGACACUGAGGCGCGAAAGCGUGGGGAGCAAACAGGAU